rnacentral:lncRNA from 13 species
AAAGUGGGCUGGGGUCUCUCUCGUGGCUGGACCUGGACCGUAAAGCGGCCCUAGUGUCCACGGCGCUCUGUUUGCUCUCCUCUAGCCCCAGCUCGGCGGGUGGGGACAGACGCUGACACUGUUGGUGGCCGGCGCUGACGCGUCCUGGCCCUGGGGUGCCUCCUAGCUUGAGGGAUUUAUUUAAAUAUUUGGGGCAGGGCACCCUCCCAGGACCCCAGGAAGCCGGCGCAGGUUCGGCGGGGACCCGGCGCAGCGUGACCACGGGGUGCGCGAUGGUGCGAGUGAGGGUGCGUCCGGGGGCCAGAGGGAGGCGGACCCGCCAGGCGGCAGCAGAGAUGGAGCUUCACCAUGUUGGUCGGCCUGGUCUCGAACACCUGAUCUCAGGAUGAACGAGGAGUAGAUCUCGGCCGUGUGCCUGGCAGUGCUGCAGGCCUUGUUGGUGCUCCACAACUAGGACAUCAUCCACUGAAACAUCAAGAGUGACUCGAUCCUGCUGACCCCUGAUGGCAGGGUGAGGGGACAGGCGGUGGGCUGCGGGGGGUCGGGGUUCCAACGGCAGGGCUUCCCUGUCUCUCCCCAUCCCCUUUGAGGGUAGGUAGGCUCAACCCCCUAGGCCUGUGUCGAGGAUC